rnacentral:rRNA from 1 species
AACGAACGCUGGCGGCAUGCCUAACACAUGCAAGUCGAACGAGACCUUCGGGUCUAGUGGCGCACGGGUGCGUAACGCGUGGGAACCUGCCCUUAGGUUCGGAAUAACUCCCCGAAAGGGGUGCUAAUACCGGAUAAUGUCUUCGGACCAAAGAUUUAUCGCCUUUGGAUGGGCCCGCGUUGGAUUAGCUAGUUGGUAGGGUAAAAGCCUACCAAGGCGACGAUCCAUAGCUGGUCUGAGAGGAUGAUCAGCCACACUGGGACUGAGACACGGCCCAGACUCCUACGGGAAGCAGCAGUGGGGGAUAUUGGACAAUGGGCGAAAGCCUGAUCCAGCAAUGCCGCGUGAGUGAUGAAGGCCUUAGGGUUGUAAAGCUCUUUUACCCGGGAUGAUAAUGACAGUACCGGGAGAAUAAGCUCCGGCUAACUCCGUG